rfam:Lactobacillus phage ATCC 8014-B2, complete genome.
UGCUCAGUAGUUCAGUGGUAGAAUAUCUGACUGUUAAUCAUAUGGUCGCUGGUUCGAACCCAGCUCGGGCAG